rnacentral:hammerhead_ribozyme from 1 species
AUCCUGAUGACGAGUCCGUAAUAAGACGAGACGCGUGUCCUGGAU